CUCGCUAGGUGUCUCGCACGGUGCGACCGUUGUCGGUGCCGUAGGGAAGCCGUGAAGCGAGCCACCUGGGAAGUACGGCCGCAAGGCUGAAACUUAAAGGAAUUGGCGGGGGAGCACCACAACGGGUGGAGCUUGCGGUUUAAUUGGAUUCAACGCCGGAAAUCUUACCGGGACCGACAGCAAUAUGAAGGCCAGGCUGAAGACUUUGCCGGAUUAGCUGAGAGGUGGUGCAUGGCA
rnacentral:rRNA from 1 species